CCUACGGGGUGCACCAGUGGGGAAUAUUGCACAAUGGGCGCAAGCCUGAUGCAGCCAUGCCGCGUGUGUGAAGAAGGGCUUCGGGUCGUAAAGCACUUUCAGCGGGGAGGAAGGCGGUGAGGUUAAUAACCUCACCGAUUGACGUUACCCGCAGAAGACGCACCGGCUAACUCCGUGCCAGCAGCCGCGGUAAUACGGAGGGUGCAAGCGUUAAUCGGAAUUACUGGGCGUAAAGCGCACGCAGGCGUUCUGUCAAGUCGGAUGUGAAAUCCCCGGGCUCAAUCUGGGAACUGCAUUCGAAACUGGCAGGCUAGAGUCUUGUAGAGGGGGGUAGAAUUCCAGGUGUAGCGGUGAAAUGCGUAGAGAUCUGGAGGAAUACCGGUGGCGAAGGCGGCCCCCUGGACAAAGACUGACGCUCAGGUGCGAAAGCGUGGGGAGCAAACAGGAUUAGAUACCCCCGUAGUC
rnacentral:rRNA from 1 species